UACGGGGGGGAGCAAGCGUUGUUCGGAUUUACUGGGCGUAAAGGGCGCGUAGGCGGCGCAACAAGUCACUUGUGAAAUCUCCGGGCUUAACCCCGGAGCGGUCAAGUGAUACUGUCGUGCUAGAGUGCGGAAGGGGGCUACUGGAAUUCUCGGUGUAGCGGUGAAAAUGCGUAGAUAUCGAGAGGGGAAACACCCUGCGGGCGAAAGGGCGGGGUAGCUGGGGCCCGACACUGACGCUGAUGCGCGAAAAGCCCAGGGGGAGCGAAACGGGGAUUAGAAAACCCC
rnacentral:rRNA from 1 species